rnacentral:rRNA from 1 species
UACGUAGGCAGCGAGCGUUGUUCGGAAUUACUGGGCGUAAAGAGUGUGUAGGCGGUGCUCUAAGUUCGGUGUGAAAUCUCCCGGCUUAACUGGGAGGGUGCGCCGGAAACUGGAGUGCUCGAGCGUGGGAGAGGAAAGCGGAAUUCCUGGUGUAGCGGUGAAAUGCGUAGAUAUCAGGAGGAACACCUGCGGUGUAGACGGCUUUCUGGAACGCAACUGACGCUGAGACGCGAAAGCGUGGGGAGCAAACAGG